GAUGAACGCUGGCGGCGUGCCUAAUACAUGCAAGUCGAGCGAACAGACGAGGAGCUUGCUCCUCUGACGUUAGCGGCGGACGGGUGAGUAACACGUGGUUAACCUACCUAUAAGACUGGGAUAACUUCGGGAAACCGGAGCUAAUACCGGAUAAUAUAUUGAACCGCAUGGUUCAAUAGUGAAAGACGGUUUUGCUGUCACUUAUAGAUGGAUCCGCGCCGCAUUAGCUAGUUGGUAAGGUAACGGCUUACCAAGGCAACGAUGCGUAGCCGACCUGAGAGGGUGAUCGGCCACACUGGAACUGAGACACGGUCCAGACUCCUACGGGAGGCAGCAGUAGGGAAUCUUCCGCAAUGGGCGAAAGCCUGACGGAGCAACGCCGCGUGAGUGAUGAAGGUCUUCGGAUCGUAAAACUCUGUUAUUAGGGAAGAACAAAUGUGUAAGUAACUAUGCACGUCUUGAUGGUACCUAAUCAGAAAGCCACGGCUAACUACGUG
rnacentral:rRNA from 1 species